CCACCAACAAAUAAAAGACAGAUACAACUACAACCCCAUUUCCGGUGAAGUUGGGACGUUGUGUAAAAUGUAAAUAAAAACAGAAUACAAUGAUUUGCAAAUCCUCUUCAACCUAUAUUCAAUUGAAUACACCA